AUUGGAUGAUUCAUACUGCGCAGAGGCGACUUCGACCAAUGACAAUGUUUUACUUCGUCGAGAUACGUCAUAACGUCAAGCUCGUUUGGAAGCAGACAGUCCGGGUAACGUCCCGCAGGAUAUCGACAUUCAGCGUUCACUGAAGAGAACCAGACUCAUCACGAGUGAAAAUAACGAUUUGGGACCCAGAAAGGAGACUCCGCUGAGGUCUGGACAGAGUGGACCAUUUCGACAACUUCUCCUUUGACAAGGAUCAAGAGGCCAAGGAUCAGGUGGUGAGGGCAGAACCAACAGACCAGACAGCUCUCCCACAGCCAGCCUCUGAACCUGCUCUACAGUCUGAAUAGCCUGGGUGAAGUUAAACUCUCCGUUGCUGGUGCACCAGAUGGCUGAGAACAGGAUAGGCUGAUGCCCUGGAAGCUAAGAGGGAAGCGGCAAAGGAGUUCGCAGGCAAGACUGCUGAUUGCAGAGGAGCUGAAACCCACAGAGGACAUGGGUCUCAAUGAACACAAGGACAAGGCCUGGUGAGAGCCACUACAGAGGAUCAUAGCCAGCGUUGGAAUUCUGGAAGGACGUGGGUGAAUAUCAAUCUGCCAAAUGAACUUUUUUAGCAUGCAUAUUCACAUCUGUAUAUUAAUUCUGAUAUGAUACUAUAUAUGACCUUGUUUGUUUGUUACUGGAAAGAAAUUAGCUUCUAUUGUUUUUGACUUUGAAGGACUUGACUGUGUUUUAAGCCUAUGUGCAUUUUCUAGAUGUUGAGCAUGAACAGAACUUUAAACAAUGAUUUACUGGGUGACUUUUAUGGCGUUUUUCCAUCACCAGUACCAGCUCAACUCGGUUUGUCCGUGCUCCGUUUUCCAUUGCAGAUAGUACCCAGAAAUAUUACCCCUCAAUGUAGCUGGUCGUCAUAGCAACGCCACACACAACUGCCGCGACAUAAUGUUCAAUGCGACACACAAACCAGCGACCCACAAACAGUCUCUUUAUUUAAGUUAAAACGUUUCAACAUUCCUCAGAAUGUAAAGACAGAUAAGCGGUAUGAAAACCUUCCAGCUGUGUUUUUCCUCUGCCGUUGUUGCUGCAGCGGUCUGUGUGAUGGCAGGAGCUAAAGGCUCUGUCAGCGGGCGGCUGGCCGGCCUCACACGCUCCUCCCGUGGGUUGGCUUGUUUUUUUGCAUGCCUGACCUCAGCUGACAGCAAUGAACGUAAUGCUCCAGUCCACAUCAAAGGGAAAACAAAAUGAAGCUGCCAGCUGUGACGGAGCACUUUAAACUGAGUGAUGACAGCAGUAGUGUGAAAGUUAUGGCGUUUAUUAAUUUUAUAAUUGCUUAAUUUCAUUACAGAUCAAAACAGUCAAAUUUCUUACAUUUUAAAAUGUUUCCCGGAUUCUGCUCUGAACCUGCUCAGACUCUCAGCUACGGUUCCCCUUGCUUUGUACAGCAGCCACCAUCCCGGUUCGGCGUGCAUCUAUUUUCACUCUGCCUCGCUCUUCACCUGCAAUAUAUGAUCCUUUUAACCUAAUAAAUAGCCUAUUCCUCUUU